rnacentral:rRNA from 1 species
AUUGAACGUUGGCGGCAGGCUUAAUACAUGCAAGUCGAGCGGUAACAGGUCGCUGGGAUCCCUUCGGGGUGAACUUGAUGCUGACGAGCGGCGGACGGGUGAGUAACGCGUAGGAAUCUACCCAGUAGCGGGGGAUAGCCCGGGGAAACUCGGAUUAAUACCGCAUACGCCCUAAGGGGGAAAGGCGGGGAUCUCUUCGGAGACCCGUCACUAUUGGAGGAGCCUGCGUUGGAUUAGCUUGUUGGUGAGGUAAAGGCUCACCAAGGCGACGAUCCAUAGCUGUUCUGAGAGGAAGAUCAGCCACACUGGAACUGAGACACGGUCCAG